GUGGGAUGGUUGAGGAAGGGAGGGAUGGGAAGGGCGAGCCUCAUCUGAGGUGGGAUGUGGGCUCUGUAGUGAGCGCUCUUGCUUGCAAUGCAACAAGGGAUCCAGGAGAGCUGGAGCAGUCUCAGCAACCACAAGUCCACCUGAGAGCCUCCAAUGGCUCGCUGCAUCCAGGGGGCAGGCUCAGUCACAGGGGCGGUGAGUGGCUGGGCUUUUUAUAACUGACUAACGGGCUGUGUUUUUAGAGAGGCCAUUCAUAAAGCUCAGGGAAGUCACCCGACUCCCAUUUAUAAAAUGAAGAUACGUUUCAGUUUGGUUGCUCUCAGCGAGGAGUCACCAUCUUAAACUUCCCAGGAAAUAGAUGCUUUAUGUUUUAACUUUAAUUUUCACCUCUCUUUUUUCCUUCCCUGUCCCCAACUUCCUCCCUUUGCCUUUCUCCCUUCCAUCUUUCAUUUAGAGUACAGUAUCAUCAUACACUACUGUUAAAAAUGCCAGCAUUAGAAUAUUAGGUUAUAAAAUAAAAUUCACACCUCCAGUUCUCAGUAAUUCCAGUUAGUUCCAAAUGGGCGGUUUUAAUAUUGACUAAGAGGAACUAGCGUAUUGAAAUGUACAGCCCACCCCUAUGAAAAUCUCCCGAAUACACUGUGCAUUUCAAAUGUAGCUUGGAGCUUUAUGAUCAAAUCAUUCGAAAGGGCGAAGACAGAAGACGGCCUCUCCACACAUCUGUAGACAAGAGAGGACAGAAGGAGAAGGGUGUGUGACAGAGGACAUCCAAGACAUUCACAGACUGGAAAGUAUGUUUUUAUUCUGAUGCAGAUCAUUAAGUGGCAGGAAAUCCAGAAGGAAAGACUGACACACCGGUGUGGGUCCGUGCCCUGGGUCCGUGCCGUGGCACCUGAAUUCUUACACCCUUAUAAGUGACUCAGCAAAUGUUUGUGUGUACCUGGGUGGUGAAAUGAAUGUAGCAGCUUCUUACAACUUCAUCCAACUCUGCCCUAUCCCAACCUUUUUGAUUGACAGCAGGUCAGAAAUGGGAGAGACAAGACCUUGAAAUCAUAUGCAGAAGAAAGGUGUUGUUUGGCUUCUAAGCAGGGGUUUAGUUAGCAAGUGACUUCAAGAGAACAUGUCUACCCCAACCAACCCUCCCAGUAGAGGAGGAAUUCACUAUGGUGGCCACUUAAGACAAAUGUGCUGCUUCUUAUCCACCGAUGAACCAAUGCAGCCCAACCAAGAAAGAGGAAUUAAGAUGAGGCCUGGGAUCCCAGAGGCUCACACCAGGAUGUACGCUGCUGUGAUGUCAGCUUUAUCCCAGGUUGGAAAGAAAGUGUGAGAGGAACAGAGGCCACACAGAUGACUGCUGGAACAGCAAGCCGAGACCUCACAUCAGGAGCUACGUGCAGGAAGCAGAGAGAAGAAAUCUGGAAUGGAGUAUGGCAUUUGAAACCCAAAACUCACACCUAGUGACAUUCUUCCUCCAGCAAGGUCGCAUCUCCUAAGCAUUCCCAAGCAUUGUUCCCAACUGGGGACCAAGAAGCCAAACAGCUGAGCCUGUGGGGGACAUUCUGAUUCAAACCGCUGUGCAUCAAGGUGAAAAUCUAUUUGGCCACAUUAGGAUGAGAAGCCAGAAAAGGUUACAUUUACGUAAUUCUUGGCAGAAAGGCAGUCCUGAACAUUUUAUCCUAUUAUUAUUUUCCUUGACAUUGUUUAUAUUUUACUGCUGUGUAGAUUUAUCAUGGUAAGUUGUUUCUUUUUAUAUUUUUAAAUUUAUCUCUUCCCCUAUUGCCCCCGUGCCCCGUACAAGUUUUGCACUGUAGCUCAGGCUGACCUCAAUCAUGAGAUCCUCCUGUUUUAGCUUCUCAAUUAAGAUAAAAGCAUGCAUCGCCACACCCAGCUUUCUUUGGCUGCCUUCUGAUUUAGUCAUCUAAUAUCAUCCAGGCUAUUUAUUACCCUUAUUAUGACAAAUAGCAAUAUAAGCCAUAUAGAACCCAAUAUUAACAGUGUUAAAUAAACACAGGUCACUUUCCUUCAUAAGAUAUGAUUUUUCAUCUUUGUUUUUGCAUUAAAGGCAAGUCAUCUCUAAGGAGGAAGAUGGAGAAAGGACAACCUUAGGGGUAGAGACAAGAGAAGCUAAUUCAAAAGAGUCUCAGUCCUCAGGUUUAGCACCGGAAAAGGAAUUAAAUUCAUUAUUUGCUAAGUUCUGAGAGCAUCUCACGCGCUCUUUCACGCGCUCUUCUGUCCCCACUUGCUUCCAUGCAGCAGGAAUGUACUGGACAGGGUUAGAAAUGGCUGCUUCUCUGGGUUUUUUAUGGUUUAGACUGAAUGCAAUGUGCCAGAGUUCUUUAAAAUAAUCUCUUCAUGAGUUUCCAGGCCUUAGAGCAGACUCAGAAAGAGCAGACUCAGAAAGUGGAGAAAUUUCUCAGUAGUUUGUCCAACUCUGUAUUAUAUACUGACUUUUAACAGUUCUGCUCAUAGUUAAGUGACGAAACAACCUCUAAUUUCAGGUCAAUCCCUAGCCCUUCCUAGCCCUUCAUCCAAAUCUGCUUAAAGCAAACACUGGACUAUUUCGUGGGGUCACCUGAUACCCACUUUCUUCCUCAGUUCUUGGAAUAAUAUCAGUCACACUUUAAGAUCUGACAUUUCAGACAGUUGAGCUGAAUAACAGGAUGAACGAGCAAGCCUUACCGGGGGAUUUAUAAAGACACGUUGACAGAGCUUGGCCGCUCAUGGUGCUGGUGAGGACCAUGCUCAUAAUGAUGGUUUCCUUGAACUCUUCCGGAAGGUGUUCCAAACAGAGGAAUUUGUAGUUUUUCCUUUGGUCCAAGAUCAAAAACAUGAACAAUUUUAAGGUUGGAGAGCAUCUGGUCCACAAUUUCAGUGGGAAAGCAACCCACCCUUUCUCAGUCGUAUUAAAAACCACCAUCUUGGCUUCCGUCUGUACCAUUACAGGCACUUGCAAUGAAUGCCUCUUAUCUUCAGUGAGGAAGUUGGAGACGGUUGCUUGCGCCUCCUUUUCUUUUUACUUUUUUUUUUUUUUAAAACCUUUAUUUACUAGAUAAUUUGUAGUUCA